GUGUUCCCUUCGGCAGCACACAUGCUACAGUUGGAAGGAUACAGAGAAGAUCAGCAUGGUCCCUCGCAAAGAUCAUCAUGCUUAUCAAAUCAAAAAAGAAAAGGUUCU
ensembl:snRNA U6 U6 spliceosomal RNA